rnacentral:rRNA from 1 species
GACGAACGCUGGCGGCGUGCCUAAUACAUGCAAGUGGGACGCAAGGGAACACACUGUGCUUGCACACCGUGUUUUCUUGAGUCGCGAACGGGUGAGUAACGCGUAGGUAACCUGCCUAUUAGCGGGGGAUAACUAUCGGAAACGAUAGCUAAUACCGCAUAAUAUUAAUUAUUGCAUGAUAAUUGAUUGAAAGAUGCAAGCGCAUCACUAGUAGAUGGACCUGCGUUGUAUUAGCUAGUUGGUAAGGUAAGAGCUUACCAAGGCGACGAUACAUAGCCGACCUGAGAGGGUGAUCGGCCACACUGGGACUGAGACACGGCCCAGACUCCUACGGGAGGCAGCAGUAGGGAAUCUUCGGCAAUGGACGAAAGUCUGACCGAGCAACGCCGCGUGAGUGAAGAAGGUUUUCGGAUCGUAAAGCUCUGUUGUAAGUCAAGAACGUGUGUGAGAGUGGAAAGUUCACACAGUGACGGAGCUACCAGAAAGGAC